rnacentral:sRNA from 12 species
UCCCGCCCGGCGAAAAGCCACCGGAAUGGUGGCCUGCCUGGAGCAGUUCCAGGCUAGCCGGGUGGGUUUUC